CGGGAAACUGGGGAUAAUACCGGAUGAUCCCCGCGAGGGGGAAAGAUUCAUCGCCGGAGGAGGGUCCCGCGUCCGAUUAGCUAGUUGGUGUGGUAACGGCGCACCAAGGCGACGAUCGGUAGCCGGUCUGAGAGGACGAUCGGCCACACUGGGACUGAGACACGGCCCAGACUCCUACGGGAGGCAGCAGUGGGGAAUAUUGGACAAUGGGCGCAAGCCUGAUCCAGCCAUGCCGCGUGAGUGAUGAAGGCCUUCGGGUUGUAAAGCUCUUUUGGCGGGGACGAUGAUGACGGUACCCGCAGAAUAAGCCCCGGCAAACUUCGUGCCAGCCGCCGCGGUAACA
rnacentral:rRNA from 1 species